rnacentral:ncRNA from 1 species
AUAUUUUAUUAAUUCCAUGGGAAAAUUAGGGCCUCAACUCAAAUUCAGAGAAACCCUGGAAUUAAAAAUGGGCAAUCCUGAGCCAAAUCCUUAACUUUAAAAUUGUAUUGGUUUAAAAACUAAUUGUAUUGGUUUAAAAUUCUUAGAAUGACCGAUGAUGAUCGAACUUGGAUGUAUAACCGG